GAGUGUUGUUCUAAAGUUAAAAGGUGUCUGGAUGCUGCUCACAGCGUUGUACUGACCACUGACAUGACUAAGCAUCCACUUAUUUAUAAAGCAAAGACAGUGGCUCGUUACAAUUACGGGCUACCACAGAGUUCUACUGCUGCAAAAAAAAUUUUAGUGAUAGUGGUUUGUGUUGUCAUGGGGGUGGAUUGGGGUGUAAGAAAAUAUUGAUACACUGAAAUAUCUUAAUGUAUUAUUUCACAAUAGUGUAUUGAUAUUCUACAUCACUGUAUCUUUUUUUUAUAAUUAAUAGUUAACAUGAAAAUAUUCUUGGUGUUGGUUCAUUUCAUUUUUGCUUUUAUUCCUUUUGUAGUGAUUACAAAUGUAGCGCCGAUGCUCUUAUUUACACUUAAACAUCAAGAACAUAUUUACUAUUUACAUAUUAUUACUGUAAACAAAAAUAGGCCAGGAUUCAAUGCAAAUGCUUUAUCAUGUUUUUAGGAUUAAGAUUAAGAUUUCCUUUAUUGGACCCACAGUGGAGAAAUUGACAGUGUUGACAGCAGCAAAGUACAAUAUGCGGUAUAAAGAGUGAAGUCUAGCAUAGUGCUUUACAAAUAAGAUAUCAGCUUGCAAUUUUGUAGUUUUCCAGUUUACAGGUAUAGUUACUUUGAGAUAUUGCAAUUGAGAUAAUAAAUCAAUUAAUUAUAGAAGAUAAUAAUACAGAGAAACAAAGACUGUACAUAAUGACAGUCAAACAAUUUGACAUGUUACGAUUUUUACCAUUAUACUUAAAUAAACAGGUGAGUGACAUUCCACAUGAGAAUGGACAUUUUUGCUAUUACACAAGGUAAUGCUAGUUAUACAGUUAUUGCACAUAUACAGUUUUAGUAUGGUGUAUUGAUGACUACAUACCCUGAUCACUUCCCUCUGUAUCUGUCUCUGGUCUCUCUGUCCUACUGUCACCUCCUUCAUCUUGAAAAGGUGAUUUCUCACGGCAGCUAGGAGCACACACAGGGAACAAGUGGAGCAAAUCCGCUUUCUUCUCGUUCUCCAAACCAGCAGACAGUUGGCAGGUAUGUCCAUCACUUGAUAUGGUCACAUAUGUUUAUUAUUAAAAAACUAUUUCACAUGGUGUUUAAUGACAACAUGAGACACGUGUAUCUGUCUUUCUUGCCUGCAGUAUGUGGUUUAUAGACCUGGCAGGAAGUGAAAGGGCAUCAGACACCAAAAAAACAAACAGACACAGUCGCAUAGAAGGAGCUGAGAUCAACCAAAGUCUCUUAGCAGUAAGCUAAAUAAUUCACAAAGAGCCAAGGACAUCACAAAGAGUAUUGCCAUGAUGAUCGUGAAGGACCUACAACCCCUCUCUGUGGUUGAACAGGAGGGUUUCAAGAAUUUAAUAAAGACACUUGAUCCCCGCUACAGGAUGCCAAGUGAUUUCUCACGGCAGCUAGGAGCACACACAGGGAACAAGUGGAGCAAAUCCGCUUUCUUCUCGUUCUCCAAACCAGCAGACAGUUGGCAGUAUGUGGUUUAUAGACCUGGCAGGAAGUGAAAGGGCAUCAGACACCAAAAAAACAAACAGACACAGUCGCAUAGAAGGAGCUGAGAUCAACCAAAGUCUCUUAGCAGUAAGCUAAAUAAUUCACAAAGAGCCAAGGACAUCACAAAGAGUAUUGCCAUGAUGAUCGUGAAGGACCUACAACCCCUCUCUGUGGUUGAACAGGAGGGUUUCAAGAAUUUAAUAAAGACACUUGAUCCCCGCUACAGGAUGCCAAGUGAUUUCUCACGGCAGCUAGGAGCACACACAGGGAACAAGUGGAGCAAAUCCGCUUUCUUCUCGUUCUCCAAACCAGCAGACAGUUGGCAGUAUGUGGUUUAUAGACCUGGCAGGAAGUGAAAGGGCAUCAGACACCAAAAAAACAAACAGACACAGUCGCAUAGAAGGAGCUGAGAUCAACCAAAGUCUCUUAGCAGUAAGCUAAGUAAGUGAUAUGUUAACACACACAAAGAGCUCAAAUACAGAAACAAAGGUCAUUGUAUUUACCUUUUAUUUGUUUAAAGCUCAAAGAAUUGUAGGUGCAAUGGGUCGAGUGCUGCUUAGGAGCACUCGGUGUUA